rnacentral:lncRNA from 1 species
AACGUUUCGCCAUCGUUUUGAUCUAUACGCAAUACAUUUAAAACGUACUACAUACGAUUAUUUACGUGGGUAUAUAUACUUAGGCUCGAUUAGGGGGUUACUCAUUACAGAACCAGAUGUAGAGACGAAGAGAGACAAGGUAGGAACACUUUUCUUAUAAUUUAAAAAAAAGUACAUGAACAAGAAUGUAGUGUGUAUAUAAACCCUAUCUAAUGUCUUAUUAUAAUUUAUCUUAAAAGUGAAGUAUUGAAAAAGUAUGAUUUUAAGCUGCAGGCGCAAAUUAAUAAGAUUAUUUUCACAGGUUUAGACUACGGCUGUUUUUUUAUUUGAUAUAGAAAAUUUAUUAUUAAGCUAGAGUAAGAUCAAAUGGGCACAUUUGUUCGUCUUUGAGACCACUCGGGAAAAUGUUUAACCGACCGAAAUUGUCAAAUUGUGGACAGUAUGUUAGAUAAUGUGUAACUGAAACAAACAAAAAAUAUAAUAUUCCUAAGUAUCGUUUUUUUUUAAACUUGAUUUUUGAUAAAAAAAAAAAUCUAAAUUAUUAUAUGAUUGGCCAAUACCAUUUUCGAAAAAAAAAUCACAAGGGAUAGGUAUACAUAAAAUUAUUCAUAAUGAUUUGUUCGUAUAUGAUCAUUUUCAGAUUCUCUGUCUACAGAACAUGCUGAACAUAAGCUACAGAAACAAAUGAUGAAAGUGGGAUGUUUCCAUGUGGUUAUUUUGAAGUGUUAGAAUGAAAGAUAAAAGUUUCAGUCAACUGCAAAAUUUAUACAUGUUAUAUUAAAGAGCAUACACCGGUAUUGAUCAUGGCCAAACUACUCUAGUUUCAAAAUAAAAUAUGCUACUAGGACAAGAAAUUGCCAUGGAAAUAUUAUAUUGUCAAUAUAAAACUUCCAUGGAAUUGCAUUGUGCUUUUUUAAACUAACCCUGUACUGUAUGUCGGUAAACUAAAUGUGCCGUAUGAGAACAAUUUAGCCAAAACGGUGUGUUUUGGAUUCAUGUCGAAUAUUCAUGUUACUUCACGGUAAACUGUAAACGUAUAUUUCUGAAGAUUUGUGAUGUAGAUGGACCAUACCCGUAGCCAGGGGGUUCGGACGAACCCCCUUGAAAACAAAUAAGCACUGUUAAUGUCAAUGUUCUGUUCGAAUUGUGACUGUUAAAGUCGAUUUCGUGAGUCCAAAUAACCCCCCUUGGAAAUUCCUGGCUACGGGCCUGUGGACAGACCAGUCUUUAAGAAAACACUACAAAAAAA